rnacentral:rRNA from 1 species
AAAAUGACUCUCGGCAACGGAUAUCU